UUAGUAUAUGAUAUUCUUUUAUCUAAGAUUCAUAUAUAAUUUUUAACUUUUUAAACAUCUGGGAGUUGAAAGAAUUUAUCAUUUCAAAAGCAUUGAAUAUGGAAAUAUUGGAGUAGUCAUUGAGCUACGUUUACUUCCUGAGCCAGAGGUUAAUUUGGAAAGGUGAAUGAAUCAAUUUAUCGCUCGUUUUCACCUCGUACUUCCCUUAAGAAUUCUUUUCGCUUAAAUCGAUUUGAGUCAACGUUUGUUUGUGAAUGUGGAUUAUCUUACCAUAUUAAAGAAGUUACAUAUAUUAGCAAAUGGAAAAAAGAUGUAAAGAAUGAAAGUACACAUUGUAAGCAAGUUGAGACUACAAAACAUUUGAUUUACGAGUGUGAUGAUGUUUUAAAUAUAUGGAACACUGUUAGCAGUAAUCUAUCCUUCAAAGUUCAAUGGAAACACAUUGUUGUUGGAUUUUUUCUAGAACAAAAUGAUAAAACCAAAUCCUUAAAUUUACUUAUUAAUUAUGUAGCCUAUAGAAUAUACAAACAUAAAAUGUUAUGUAGAUUAGAUUCUUUAGUAAAAAGACUUUUAAUGUGUGUAAUCAGGUUUAAAAAUCAUUAUGUAUCUAUACACCAGUAUUGAAGUACUACUCAAAAUUUGAUAAGGAUCAUAGAUAUUUUUCUGUUUAAAACAUUUAUAACUGCAUAACUGGCAAUAUUGUGUCCAAGUGAAAUCAAAAACGUCUUCAACAAAGAACAUGACCCACAAUAUGCCAUUUUUGGUCUACCAAAUUUGGAAAAAUUAAAGAACACUUUAGAAUAAAUCUAAGAUUAUAUUUUUUAUCCAUAACAUGAGCCAAGUUGUAUUGCGCAAUCGUUUCCUCACACUGGAUGUUUAAAGCACUCAAGUAAAUGCCCAAACCUACCGCAGUUUCACGUUUUCCGGGAAAAUCGCAUAAAUUUGCCAACUUCAGUCUAUAAAUUCACAUGGGCCGCAUUACUCACGACUCAAUUUUGUAAACUAAAAUUAAAAUGCAAAGUUAGAUUAACACUUUCCAUUAAAAAAAUUAACUCGUAAUCAAUGCGGCCAUGUCGAAAAGAAAUAAAUAAUAAUAACAAAAGUGUCGUCUGGAAACGUCAGAUUCCAAGGAACGCAAUACAUACAUCUAACGCAGUUGAUACGACUCAAAAAGAAACAGCAAAGAGGUGAGUUUUUAUGUUGUUAUAUAUUUUUUAAAAUAAAAAACAAUAUCUAAACGAGUAAAUAUGAGAGUCAUGGCCUAUAGUAAAAAGGUAGAGGAGAGGGGAGGGGGGGGGGAGGGUUACACCUAUCGUGUAUGUUUGAUUCCGAAGUCCGUUCCGAUGGCUUUAAAAGUACCGAUUACCCUACCUUUUGUUACUUUAAAAAUGAUAUUGUUCGAAACAGAAUGAAUGUUCGAAUCAAACAUACAGUACAAACUUAUACGGCCAUACGGAAUACCCUAGUUAGAAUAAUCUAAAUGUGUCUCGGGACAGGCCCUCACCACAAUCGGUCCGUAGGACAUUAUCAUUUUAACGAUAGAACAUCCUAUCUAGGAAUACCCCGGUAAACAUUUCAAUUACACAGGCCCAGCAUGUACACGUGUAUUACGCAUGGAGAUGUGCGAUAUAUAUUCAGACAGUAUGUUCUAUCGUAUGAAUUUGUCCAUGGGUUCUCACAAUUUUUACAAAUUUUGUACGUUUAAUCAUUAUAGGCUACAGUUCAAAGUUUCUUAUAAAAUAUGAAGUCUGUCAAUCGUAACUGUAAAGCUGUAGCAACGUGUUACACUAACAAAUGUCCGCAUAUUACGGCAAUGUCACACACGGCUGUUAGCUUGAUCUAUUUUACAUUUGUACUUGAGAAUUUGAACGCACAAUAUUCAUACAUCGAACGGAGAAGAAACAAUUAGUGUUUUCUUUUCAAUUUCAACUAUUUAAGUUCAUAAAUUCAUAAGUCCCUUGUAUAUACAUGGAAAAAAAAAAACCUACAAAAACACACACAGAGUUUGUUUUUAAUGAAGUAGGUCAAUUUAAAUACAUAUCAAAGUAUAUCUUGUUAAAUAACAAUCUAAUUAAAAUUAGAUCUUUGAUCCGCUCAUGCAAUCGCUACACAAAGAUCUAACAACGACCCACAGAGACUCGUGUUCAGUCACGUGAGUCAUUAGCCAAUCAGAUGACAGCUUAUGCCGAGGCAUAAGUGUAAGUCGGAACAAGAUUAUCACACGGUUAUCACAGUAAAAAUCCGAAAGGUAUCGAAUGUUGUUUGUAAUGGCGGCGCCCUUGACGUCAUGUCGAAUUUAUUUACAAGAAAACGUUUGUGUAAUUUGUGGGUUUUGUUUUGAAACACGAGAAACUACUACAUCUGGUGACGUUAUUGUGAAAAAAUUGAAUAACCUGAAAUUAAAAUUAACUGCUGAAAGGGUUCAGAAUAUAGAAAAAGUGAUCGAGUCGAAGGAGAAUUUCAAUUUCGACGGACCUAAAGGUAUUUGUGUUAAAUGCAACAGGUCAAUAGAAAGGGUGUUGCGUUUGAAAAAUGAAAUACGCUCACUUACAGAGCACAUUAAGGAUGCCAAUACGAGGACAAUGCGGGCAUUUACACUUGCGUUACCAUCGCCCACCCACGGUUUACGUGUGUAUCAUGUAGAAAAACGUUUGGCCAGGAGUCCAGCAUCAGAGCAACCCAGGAAACUGACUAAGUUUCCUUCUAAUGUACUUGCUGUUGUCCCAGUGGAAAUUAAAGAAUUUAAGGACAUUACCCCUAGAGACCUUUGUACAUCACAUGAUGCAGAAGUACAAUUGCCUGAACCUUCUCAACAAUUGCUUGGAUGUGUCCCCAUUACUCCAAAUGAGGACAAAUGUGAUGGACAAAAUCUGGCAAUUUCUACAUUUGGAACUACAAUACAAAAUGAAAAGAAUAAACCAACCAAAAGGGCAUUGUUUUCAUCUGGUAAUGAGGAAUCAAAUGUAACUGGUAAAAUCCAGAAGAUAUUGACUUCAUACACAUCUGGAACAAUUAGAUAUUGAGAACAAGAUUUGGAACUGGCGAGGACGAGAUGUCCGGUUUUUUUCCCACCUCAAUGUCAAGGAAAGGCACCGGAUACGUACUUCUUUUGCUAUUGACUACGAAUGGAAUUUUCAUCAUCGUCAUAGCUUUUCU